rnacentral:rRNA from 1 species
CGUAGGGGCCUAGCGUUGUCCGGAUUUACUGGGCGUAAAGAGCGCGCAGGCGGUCGUUCAAGUCGAGUGUGAAAGCCCCCGGCUUAACUGGGGAGGGUCAUUCGAUACUGAUCGACUCGAAGGCAGGAGAGGGUAGUGGAAUUCCCGGUGUAGUGGUGAAAUGCGUAGAUAUCGGGAGGAACACCAGUGGCGAAGGCGACUACCUGGCCUGUUCUUGACGCUGAGGCGCGAAAGCUAGGGGAGCAAACGGG